rnacentral:ncRNA from 2 species
GGAGGAACCUCUGGAGAGAACCGUUAGAUCGGUCGCCGAAGGAGCAAGCUCAUUUCUAUAAUGAGUGAAACUCUCAGGUACAAAGGACAGAGGAGAGAAU